rnacentral:rRNA from 1 species
GACGAACGCUGGCGGCGUGCUUAACACAUGCAAGUCGAACGGAAAGGCCCUGCUUUUGUGGGGUGCUCGAGUGGCGAACGGGUGAGUAACACGUGAGUAACCUGCCCUUGACUUUGGGAUAACUUCAGGAAACUGGGGCUAAUACCGGAUAGGUGCUCCUGCUGCAUGGUGGGGGUUGGAAAGUUUCGGCGGUUGGGGAUGGACUCGCGGCUUAUCAGCUUGUUGGUGGGGUAGUGGCUUACCAAGGCUUUGACGGGUAGCCGGCCUGAGCGGGUGACCGGCCACAUUGGGACUGAGAUACGGCCCAGACUCCUACGGGAGGCAGCAGUGGAGAAUAGUGCACAAUGGGCGGAAGCCUGAUGCAGCAACGCCGCGUGCGGGAUGACGGCCUUCGGGUUGUAAACCGCUUUCGCCUGUGACGAAGCGUGAGUGACGGUAAUGGGUAAAGAAGCACCGGCUAACUACGUG